rnacentral:rRNA from 1 species
UACCAGCACCCCGAGUGGUCGGGACGAUUAUUGGGCCUAAAGCAUCCGUAGCCGGUUCUACAAGUCUUCCGUUAAAUCCACCCGCUUAACAGAUGGGCUGCGGAGGAUACUAUAGAGCUAGGAGGCGGGAGAGGCAAGCGGUACUUAGUGGGUAGGGGUAAAAUCCGUUGAUCCAUUGAAGACCACCAGUGGCGAAGGCGGCUUGCCAGAACGCACUCGACGGUGAGGGAUGAAAGCUGGGGGAGCAAACCGG